GCCGGCCUCUACUUGACUCUUUUCUCUCUCUUCUCAGUGAUGCCUCAAACUGUGUUAUAGAUUCCCUUCAGAACCAGCUUUUUCCCUUUGAAGCUCACAGCAUCGACAAGUUUGUUAGCUGUUAGCCUGUUACAAUCAAUGGCACACAGAAAAAGGCGUUUAGAUCAACUCAAGAAUCCAUUCAGUUCUCACCCCUUUGAAGCAGUUGCCUUUGGCUCAUGGCAAGCUGUGGAGUUCAUAAAAGUUGAGGGAGGAACACUGUCCAUGCAUUUUGUAGAUAAUUAUCAUAUGGCUAUGGAGAAAGGACCCGUGUCAGACAUUCGGAUAAGGUCAAGGAAGGCUACUUUAUCAGAUUGCUCCCGAUUUUUACGUCCUGGAAUUGACGUAUGUGUACUAUCAGCUCCUCAACAAUCUGAUGAUUCAGAUGCAAUUAAUGUGGACCCUGUUUGGGCUGAUGCUAAAAUAAGUUCUGUACAAAGAAAACCUCAUGACUCUGAGUGCUCUUGUCAGUUUUAUGUGAACUUCUAUGUUCAUCAAGGUUCACUUGGUGCAGAGCUAAGAAGUCUAAGCAAGGAGAUUAAAGUUGUUGGAAUCAAUCAAAUAUCCAUCCUACAAAAACUUGAACACAUUCCUUGUGAAGGUCAGCACCACAGGUGGGAUUCAUCUGAGGACUGCUCUAUAAUAUCACAUACUAAAUUGCUUCUGGGAAAAGUGUUAUGUGAUCUUUCAUGGUUAGUUGUUACUUCAGUUAUAAGGAAGGUUUCAUUCUGUGUGAGAUCUCUUGAAGACAAGCUUGUGUAUCAAAUUUUGGGAAGAGAUUCUGUUAGCACUUCAUUGGACAAUGCAUCUCACAUUGCUGUUGUGAGUUUCAAAACAGAGAAUGGCCUGUUAGUGCCUAUUGUUUCUGAAUUAGCUACACCAAAAACCAAAAGGAUUGAUCUUGUUCAGGAAUCCAAUGAAGAUAAAGUAUCACCAUCUUAUAAUGUUGAGGGAUUAAGGCGUUCCAAGCGCCGGAAUGUGCAGCCUGAGCGCUACCUUGGUUGCAACAAUGUAUCCGAGAUUGAUGUUGGUUCUUUUAGAAACAGACCACCAGUUAAGAUAGACACUUGGAAGGAUGAUGAUGAUGAUGAUGAACUGCAUAUACCAUUAGCAUGCCUGUUUGGUUUGCAGCAAAACUGUCUAGAAGAGAAUACUGAUCAUCAUCAAAGGGUAAGGAAGGUGAGUGCUUGCCGGGAGCUUGUGGUGUACAGUAGAAAGAGGCCUAAAAUCCGGAAGGUAAAGUCAGGAGAUGAUGCUCAAAGUGAACAUCAAAAUCAUCUUGCAAUUAUUCCUCUUCCUGAUCAAGAUGAUCCAGUAGCCAUUGAGCAUGGUGAUCUAAACGAGAAGGUUACUAGAAGUUAUGGUCAUGAAUCCUCUGAAAUUUCUUCCAAAUAUUAUCAUCUAACUUGUAGUGGUACCCCUAAAUCAAAGAGUAAUGAUAUUAAAUUGUUAACUCUUGAGCCUCAUAAUCAUACAACAAAGCCAGAGGAUGCAGAGAAGACUGAUGAUUUGUCAUUGAGAUAUAAUAAUUAUAGUUAUGGCGCCCCUAAGUCACAGAGGAAGAAUUUGUGUGGUCUGGAUGAUAUGGUGGAUCUUGGAAACAAAUGGGAAGGGAUCAAUUCCAAUAAAGGAGCUUAUGGGAAAAAACCUCGUAUAACAUAUUUAAGAAGUAAGAAUCAUGAAGAAGAAAGAAGAUACCAUUAUAAAGACAGAACCUUAAAUGCAGCUGCCUACAAGGAUUUGAUAAAUUCUUACUUAAAGAAUAUUAAUACAAAACCAUCCAAUGAAGAACCAUCUAUUGCUGACCAGUGGAAGCAAAGCAACACAACUAGCAACACUGACCAAAAGAUUGAAGAAGAGAUACUGGAUGAAGAGGAUGCGGAAGAAGUAUCUGAAAUGGAUAUGUUGUGGAGAGAACUGGAAGUGUCAUUGGCAUCAAGUUAUCUAGAAGACACAGAGGAUUUAAAUACUGUUGUUCUCAAUGAGACUACAGAAAAGCCGAAUGAAGGUUGUCCACAUGAUUUCAGAUUGAAUGAAGAAAUUGGAAUUUACUGCUAUAGAUGCGGCCUUGUGAGCACUGAGAUCAAAUAUAUUACACCACCCUUUAUUCAACAUUCAGUGUGUCACCAAGAGGAGAAACAAAGUGCUGAAGAAGAUUCAAGGACUAAGGCUGAUGAAGAGGAUGACUAUGAUCUUUUCCCAAAUCUUGUUUCUCCUGAGGAACCUAUGUCUGAAGAAAAUGACAACGUUUGGUCAUUAAUUCCUGAACUUAGAGAAAAGUUGCAUGCCCACCAAAAGAAAGCUUUUGAGUUUCUUUGGCAAAACAUUGCAGGGUCCAUGGAUCCAGGACUUAUGGAAGCAUCAUCCAAAAGAAGAGGUGGCUGUGUGAUAUCUCAUUCUCCUGGAGCUGGAAAAACUUUUCUCAUCAUUGCUUUUCUUGUUAGCUACUUGAAGUUAUUCCCAGGGAAGAGGCCUCUAGUCCUUGCUCCAAAAACAACACUCUAUACUUGGUACAAAGAAUUUAUCAAGUGGAAUAUUCCUAUACCAGUGUAUCUGAUUCAUGGUCGUAGAACCUACAGGGUAUUCAAGCAGAAAUCAAUGGCUGUUAUUCCUGGAGUUCCCAAGCCCACUGAUGAUGUCAAACAUGUUUUGGAUUGUCUCGAGAAGAUACAAAAAUGGCAUUCACAUCCGAGUGUUCUCAUCAUGGGUUAUACUUCAUUUUUAACAUUGAUGCGAGAGGAUUCAAAGUUUGCUCACAGAAAAUACAUGGCUAAGGUAUUGAGGGAAAGCCCUGGGAUCAUGGUGUUGGAUGAAGGGCACAAUCCAAGAAGCACUAAAUCUAGGUUGAGAAAAGUUCUGAUGAAAGUACAAACUGAUUUGAGAAUACUUCUUUCUGGUACAUUGUUUCAGAACAAUUUUUGUGAAUACUUCAACACUUUGUGCUUGGCAAGACCAAAGUUUAUUAAUGAAGUACUGAAAGCACUAGACCUUAAAUACAGGAGGAAAGGGAAAGUAGCAAAGAAAGCACGUCAUUUAUUGGAGUCACGAGCUAGAAAAUUCUUCUUAGACAAAAUUGCCAAGAAAAUUGACUCAAAUAAUGGUAGGGAGAGGCAACAGGGUCUAAAAAUGUUGAGGAAUGUGACAAAUGGUUUCAUAGAUGUUUAUGAAGGUGGUAGUUCUGAUGGUCUACCUGGCUUGCAAAUUUAUACAUUGCUCAUGAAUUCAACUGAUACACAGCAUGAGAUUUUGCAGAAGCUGCACAAAAAAAUGGCCAAGUGCAAUGGAUACCCUUUAGAGUUAGAACUGUUGAUAACUCUUGGUUCAAUACAUCCUUGGUUGGUCAAAACAGCUGUAUGUGCUGAGAAGUUUUUCUCUCAGGAGCAAUUGAUGGAGCUAGAGAAAUGCAAAUUUGAUCUAAAAAUGGGGUCCAAAGUAAGAUUUGUUUUGAGCCUUAUCUACCGUGUUGUCAAGAAGGAGAAGGUUCUCAUAUUCUGCCACAAUAUUGCACCUGUGAGGUUAUUUAUGGAAUAUUUUGAGAAGUACUUUGGAUGGCAAAAGGGUAGGGAAGUGUUGGUGCUAACCGGGGAACUAGAACUCUUUGAAAGAGGGAGAGUAAUGGAUAAGUUUGAGGAGCCUGGUGGGGUGUCAAAGAUACUCCUUGCUUCAAUCACAGCUUGUGCUGAAGGCAUUAGUUUAACUGCUGCUUCUCGUGUGAUCAUGUUGGACUCAGAAUGGAACCCUUCAAAAACAAAGCAAGCUAUUGCACGAGCCUUUCGUCCUGGUCAGCAGAAAGUGGUUUAUGUGUAUCAGCUCUUGGUGACAGGUUCAUUGGAGGAGGAUAAGUACCGAAGAACCACUUGGAAAGAGUGGGUGUCAAGCAUGAUCUUUAGUGAGGCAUUUGUGGAGGACCCUUCCCAGUGGCAAGCUGAGAAGAUUGAAGAUGAUAUACUGAGGGAGAUGGUUGCUGAGGACAAGUCUAAAUCAUUUCAUAUGAUCAUGAAGAAUGAAAAAGCUUCUUCUACCAACAAAUAAAGGUCUCACAAAUAACAAAGGCAUCACCAAAUCUCGGAACAAAAGUGAUUUUCCAAAAAGGGAUAAAUUAUUAGGUGAAGCUUAACGUGGGAAGCAGCAAGAGCAUCAAUAAAGGCCCAAACCCACAUCUUAACAAGUUUCUUUAUGAAAUGCCCAAUAAGCUUUUUUCUUUUUCAAAAAUUAUUUAUUUGGGCAAAUUAUCAAUUUGGUAUAUUGGAGGUUUGUGUUAGGUUAGGGGAUAGGUAGUGGUGGAGGAUCGAAAUUCCAACAUCAUGAUUAAGUCAGUCCAAAAAGAUGGGACUGAUGCCAAUUGAGUUACAUAGGUGUUGCCAAAUGUUCAAAAAUUAGUAUAAAAAAAUUUGUUCAAAAAAUUUAAUCUCUUCCAGCUUUGAUGAAGGUGAGAUUUAAUUC